rnacentral:rRNA from 2 species
GCUUGCUCCUGGAUUCAGCGGCGGACGGGUGAGUAAUGCCUAGGAAUCUGCCUGGUAGUGGGGGAUAACGUCCGGAAACGGGCGCUAAUACCGCAUACGUCCUGAGGGAGAAAGUGGGGGAUCUUCGGACCUCACGCUAUCAGAUGAGCCUAGGUCGGAUUAGCUAGUUGGUGGGGUAAAGGCCUACCAAGGCGACGAUCCGUAACUGGUCUGAGAGGAUGAUCAGUCACACUGGAACUGAGACACGGUCCAGACUCCUACGGGAGGCAGCAGUGGGGAAUAUUGGACAAUGGGCGAAAGCCUGAUCCAGCCAUGCCGCGUGUGUGAAGAAGGUCUUCGGAUUGUAAAGCACUUUAAGUUGGGAGGAAGGGCAGUAAGUUAAUACCUUGCUGUUUUGACGUUACCAACAGAAUAAGCACCGGCUAACUUCGUGCCAGCAGCCGCGGUAAUACGAAGGGUGCAAGCGUUAAUCGGAAUUACUGGGCGUAAAGCGCGCGUAGGUGGUUCAGCAAGUUGGAUGUGAAAUCCCCGGGCUCAACCUGGGAACUGCAUCCAAAACUACUGAGCUAGAGUACGGUAGAGGGUGGUGGAAUUUCCUGUGUAGCGGUGAAAUGCGUAGA